rnacentral:rRNA from 1 species
ACGUACAGUCCUACGGGAGGCAGCAGUGGGGAAUAUUGGACAAUGGGCGCAAGCCUGAUCCAGCCAUGCCGCGUGAGUGAUGAAGGCCCUAGGGUUGUAAAGCUCUUUCACCGGUGAAGAUAAUGACGGUAACCGGAGAAGAAGCCCCGGCUAACUUCGUGCCAGCAGCCGCGGUAAUACGAAGGGGGCUAGCGUUGUUCGGAUUUACUGGGCGUAAAGCGCACGUAGGCGGACUAUUAAGUCAGGGGUGAAAUCCCGGGGCUCAACCCCGGAACUGCCUUUGAUACUGGUAGUCUUGAGUUCGAGAGAGGUGAGUGGAAUUCCGAGUGUAGAGGUGAAAUUCGUAGAUAUUCGGAGGAACACCAGUGGCGAAGGCGGCUCACUGGCUCGAUACUGACGCUGAGGUGCGAAAGCGUGGGGAGCAAACAGGAUUAGAAACCCUAGUAGUCCC